UACAGAGGUCCCAAGCGUUGUUCGGAUUCACUGGGCGUAAAGGGUGCGUAGGUGGUUGGGUAAGUUUGAUGUGAAAUCUCCGGGCUUAACCCGGAAACUGCAUUGAAUACUAUUCGACUAGAGGGUUGGAGGGGGGACUGGAAUUCUCGGUGUAGCAGUGAAAUGCGUAGAUAUCGAGAGGAACACCAGUGGCGAAGGCGAGUCCCUGGACAACUCCUGACACUGAGGCACGAAAGCUAGGGGAGCAAACAGG
rnacentral:rRNA from 1 species